ACGCUCGACACCUACGGGAUGCAGCAGUGGGGAAUAUUGCACAAUGGGGGAAACCCUGAUGCAGCAACGCCGCGUGAAGGAAGACGGUUUUCGGAUUGUAAACUUCUGUUCUUAGUGAAGAUAGUGACGGUAGCUAAGGAGCAAGCCACGGCUAACUACGUGCCAACAGCCGCGGUAAUCUGAGCGGGCUGGCAAGGC
rnacentral:rRNA from 1 species